rnacentral:rRNA from 1 species
AAAAUUUGUUAUUAAUUUGAUUUAUAUGUAAAUUUUUGUAAGAAUUUUUAUUAAUUUUAAAAAUUAAUAAAAUUAUUUUAAUCGCAGUAAUUAAUUUUAUUAAUUAAAGAAAUUUAGAAAUAGCAAUAUUAAAGAGUAUAGAUUAAAUUGGUGCCAGCAGUCGCGGUUAUACCAAUUAUACAAAUAAAUUUUUUUAGUAAAAGUUAAAUUGAUUAAAUUUAAAUAAAAUUAAAUUUAUUAAGUGAAAUUUUAAAUUUAAAAUUUUUAUUAUAAAAAUAAUUGAAGCUUAAAAAUUUUAGUUAA